CUACGGGGUGCUGCAGUGGGGAAUAUUGGACAAUGGGGGCAACCCUGAUCCAGCCAUGCCGCGUGUGUGAAGAAGGCCUUUUGGUUGUAAAGCACUUUAAGCAGGGAGGAGAGGCUAAUGGUUAAUACCCAUUAGAUUAGACGUUACCUGCAGAAUAAGCACCGGCUAACUCUGUGCCAGCGGCCGCGGUAAUACAGAGGGUGCGAGCGUUAAUCGGAAUUACUGGGCGUAAAGCGAGUGUAGGUGGCUCAUUAAGUCACAUGUGAAAUCCCCGGGCUUAACCUGGGAACUGCAUGUGAUACUGGUGGUGCUAGAAUAUGUGAGAGGGAAGUAGAAUUCCAGGUGUAGCGGUGAAAUGCGUAGAGAUCUGGAGGAAUACCGAUGGCGAAGGCAGCUUCCUGGCAUAAUAUUGACACUGAGAUUCGAAAGCGUGGGUAGCAAACAGGAUUAGAUACCCGAGUAGUC
rnacentral:rRNA from 1 species